CAGUAGCCGCGGGAAUACGGAGGGGGCUAGCGUUGUUCGGAAUUACUGGGCGUAAAGCGCACGUAGGCGGCUCUGUAAGUUAGAGGUGAAAGCCCGGAGCUCAACUCCGGAAUUGCCUUUAAGACUGCAGAGCUAGCAGGUGAGAGAGGUGAGUGGAAUUCCGAGUGUAGAGGUGAAAUUCGUAGAUAUUCGUAAGAACACCAGCGGCGAAGGCGGCUCACUGGCUCAUACUGGACGCUGAGGUGCGAAAGCGUGGGGAGCAAACAGGAUUAGAUACCCCUGUAGUCCCUGUCUCUUAUAC
rnacentral:rRNA from 1 species